CACCCUCACACCCACAUCAGACUAGAUGUACACACCCACAUCAGACUAGAUGUACACACCCACAUCAGACUAGAUGUACACACCCACAUCGGGCCACGCGUACACACCCCAUCGGGCCACGCGUACACACCCCCAUCGGACCACGCGGCUACACCCCCCAUCGGGCCACGCGUACACACCCCCAUCGGGCUACGCGUACACACCCCCAUCGGGCUACACGUACAAAACCCCAUCGGGCUACACGUACACACCCCCAUCAGGCUACACGUACACACCCCCAUCAGGCUACACGUACACACCCCCAUCAGGCUACACGUACACACCCCCAUCAGGCUACACAUAUAAAACCCCAUCAGGCUACACGUACACACCCCCAUCAGGCUACACGUACACACCCCCAUCAGGCUACACGUACACACCCCC
ensembl:lncRNA